AACGAACGCUGGCGGCAGGCUUAACACAUGCAAGUCGAACGCGUGUAGCAAUACACGAGUGGCGCACGGGUGAGUAACACGUGGAUAUCUGCCUUUUGGUUCGGGAUAACCCUGUGACACUUGGGCUAAUACCGAAUGGUUCCUACGGGAUAAAGAUUUAUCGCCAAAAGAUGAGUCCGCGUCGGAUUAGCUAGGUGGUGUGGUAACGGCUCCCCAAGGCGACGAUCGGUAGCUGGUCUGAGAGGACGCUCAGCCACACUGGGACUGAGACACGGCCCAGACUCCUACGGGAGGCAGCAGUGGGGAAUAUUGGACAAUGGGGGCAACCCUGAUUCAGCCAUGCCGCGUGAGUGAUGAAGGCCUUCGGGUUGUAAAGCUCUUUUGGCGGGGACGAUGAUGACGGUACCCGCAGAAUAAGCCCCGGCUAACUUCGUGCCAGCCGCCGCAGUAACAC
rnacentral:rRNA from 1 species